rnacentral:tRNA from 1 species
GGGCGAGUGUCGGAACUGGCAGACGAGCCAGACUUAGGAUCUGGUGCCGCAAGGCGUGAGGGUUCGAGUCCCUCCUCGCCCA